rnacentral:rRNA from 1 species
CGCGGCCUAUCAGCUUGUUGGUGAGGUAACGGCUCACCAAGGCAUCGACGGGUAGCUGGUCUGAGAGGACGAUCAGCCACACUGGGACUGAGACACGGCCCAGACUCCUACGGGAGGCAGCAGCGGGGAAUCUUGCGCAAUGGGCGAAAGCCUGACGCAGCGAUGCCGCGUGGGGGAUGAAGGCUCUCGGGUCGUAAACCCCUUUCAGCAGGGACGAAAAUGACGGUACCUGCAGAAGAAGCCCCGGCCAACUACGUGCCAGCAGCCGCGGUAACACGUAGGGGGCGAGCGUUGUCCGGAUUUAUUGGGCGUAAAGAGCUCGUAGGCUGUUCAGUAAGUCAGGUGUGAAAACCCAAGGCUCAACCUUGGGACGCCACUUGAUACUGCUGUGACUAGAGUCCGGUAGAGGAGAUUGGAAUUCCUGGUGUAGCGGUGAAAUGCGCAGAUAUCAGGAGGAACACCAACGGCGAAGGCAGAUCUCUGGGCCGGCACUGACGCUGAGGAGCGAAAGCGUGGGGAGCGAACAGGAUUAGAUACCCUGGUAGUCCACGCCGUAAACGUUGGGCACUAGGUGUGGGGUCUAUUCAACGGAUUCCGUGCCGUAGCUAACACAUUAAGUGCCCCGCCUGGGGAGUACGG